CAGCAGACACAUUCCAGCCAAUCAGCAGCAGACCCUCCCUCCCAGACCUUCCCACCUCCUGGACAGCAUCCAUUUUACAUUCAUUGUGAAGCUGCAUUCUUAGUGAGCUGUCCAGGAGGUGGAAGGGUCUGGGAGGGAGGGUCUGCUGCUGAUUGGCUGGAAUGUGUCUGCUG